UCCCAGUGUCUCCAGGAUAGGGAUAUGG
rnacentral:sRNA from 1 species